rnacentral:rRNA from 1 species
CCUACGGGAGGCAGCAGUGGGGAAUUUUGGACAAUGGGCGAAAGCCUGAUCCAGCCAUGCCGCGUGAGUGAAGAAGGCCUUCGGGUUGUAAAGCUCUUUUAGUCGGAAAGAAAGAGUUGCAAUGAAUAAUUGUGAUUUAUGACGGUACCGACAGAAAAAGCACCGGCUAACUACGUGCCAGCAGCCGCGGUAAUACGUAGGGUGCGAGCGUUAAUCGGAAUUACUGGGCGUAAAGGGUGCGCAGGCGGUCUUGCAAGUCAGAUGUGAAAGCCCCAGGCUUGACCUGGGAAUUGCGUUUGAAACUACAAGGCUAGAGUGCAGCAGAGGGGAGUGGAAUUCCAUGUGUAGCAGUGAAAUGCGUAGAGAUGUGGAAGAACACCGAUGGCGAAGGCAGCUCCCUGGGUCGACACUGACGCUCAUGCACGAAAGCGUGGGGAGCAAACAGGAUUAGAUACCCUGGUAGUCCACGCCCUAAACGAUGUCAACUAGUUGUCGGAUCUAAUUAAGGAUUUGGUAACGUAGCUAACGCGUGAAGUUGACCGCCUGGGGAGUACGGUCGCAAGAUUAAAACUCAAAGGAA